rnacentral:rRNA from 1 species
CCUUAGUUACCAGCACGUUAUGGUGGGCACUCUAAGGAGACUGCCGGUGACAACCGGAGGAAGGUGGGGAUGACGUCAAGUCAUCAUGGCCCUUACGGCCUGGGCUACACACGUGCUACAAUGGUCGGUACAAAGGGUUGCCAAGCCGCGAGGUGGAGCUAAUCCCAUAAAACCGAUCGUAGUCCGGAUCGCAGUCUGCAACUCGACUGCGUGAAGUCGGAAUCGCUAGUAAUCGUGAAUCAGAAUGUCACGGUGAAUACGUUCCCGGGCCUU